rnacentral:rRNA from 1 species
CAGCAGCCACGGGAAUACGUAUGUGGCAAGCGUUGUCCGGAAUUAUUGGGCGUAAAGGGCUCGAAGGCGGUUUCUUAAGUCUGAUGUGAAAGCCCCCGGCUCCACCGGGGAGGGUCAUUGGAAACUGGGAAACUUGAGUGCAGAAGAGGAGAGUGGAAUUCCACGUGUAGCGGUGAAAUGCGUAGAGAUGUGGAGGAACACCAGUGGCGAAGGCGACUCUCUGGUCUGUAACCGACGCUGAGGAGCGAAAGCGUAGGGAGCGAACAGGAUUAGAUACCCCAGUAGUCCCUGUCUCUUAUAC